UGUCAUAUGGUGUUAAAUUCAUCUGUUGAAUUCUUUUUUUUUUGCGACGGAGUUUCGCUCUCAUUGCCCAGGCUGUAGUGCAGUGGUGCGAUCUCAGCUUACCUUGAACCUCCGCCUUCUGGGUUCAAGCGAUUCUCCUGCCUCAGCCUCCCGAGUAGCUGGGAUUACAGGCGUGUGCCACCACACCCAGCUAAUUUUAUAUAUUUUUUUAGUAGAGACGGGGGUUUCACCAUGUUGGUCAGGCUGGUCUUGAACUCCUGACCUCUGGUGAUCCACCCGCCUCGGCCUCCCAGAGUGCUGGGAUUACAGGAGUAAGCCACUGCGCCUGGCCAAAAUUUUGUUUUUAAAUUAGCCCGGCGUGGUGGGUGCGUGCCUAUAGUCCCAGCUAUUUGGGAGGCGGAGGUGGAGGCGGGAGGACACUUGAGCCCAGGAGUUUGAGUGAGCCAUGAUUGCGCCACUGCAGCCUGGGUGACAGCCCCACCCUGUCUCUCAAUUUUAUUUAUUUAUUUAUUUUUGAGACACAGUCUCGCUCUGUCGCCCAGGCUGGAGUGCAGUGGCGCGAUCUCGGCUCACUGCAACCUCCGCCUCCCGGGUUCAAGCAGUUCUCCUGCCUCAGCCUCCCGAGUAGCUGGGAUUACAGGCGCCCACCACCACAUCUGGCUAAUUUUGUAUUUUUAGUAGAGACGGGCUUUUUCCGUGUUGGUCAGGCUGGUCUUGAACUCCCAACCUCAGGUGAUCCACCCGCCUCAGCCUCCCAAAGUGCUGGGAUUACAGGCAUGAGCCACCAUGCCCGGCAAGUUUUAAAUGAAUAAAUUAAAUUUAAAAGAAGUCUAGUUUUUUGCCAAUUUUUGUUUUUGACACUCUCGCUCUUGUUGCCCAGUCUGGAGUGCAAUGGCACAAUCUCAGCUCACUGCAAUCUCCGCCUCCCGGGUUCAAGUAAUUCUGCCUUAGCCUACUGAGUAGCUGGGAUUACAAGCACCCACCACCAUGCCCAGCUAACUUUUGUAUUUUUAGUAGAGACAGGGUUUCACCGUGUCGGCCAGGAUGGUCUUGAACUCCUGACUUCAGAUGAUCUGCCCACCUUGGUCUCCCAAAGUGCUGGGAUUAAAGGUGUGAGCCACUGUGCCCAGCCCAGUAUUUUUUUGUUUGUUUUUAUUGAGAUGGAGUCCCGCCCCAUUGCCCAGGCUAGAGUGCAGUGGCGUGAUCUCAGUACACUGCAACCUCCACUUCCCAGGUUCAAGCGAUUCUCCUGCCUCAGCCUCCUGAGCAGUUGGGAUUACAGGUAGAUGAUGAGCUGGAGAUCAAGGCCUACUAUGCAGGCCACGUGCUGGGGGCAGCCAUGUUCCAGAUUAAAGUGGGCUCAGAGUCUGUGGUCUACACGGGUGAUUAUAACAUGACCCCAGACCGACACUUAGGAGCUGCCUGGAUUGACAAGUGCCGCCCCAACCUGCUCAUCACAGAGUCCACGUACGCCACGACCAUCCGUGACUCCAAGCGCUGCCGGGAGCGAGACUUCCUGAAGAAAGUCCACGAGACCGUGGAGCGUGGUGGGAAGGUGCUGAUACCUGUGUUCGCGCUGGGCCGCGCCCAGGAGCUCUGCAUCCUCCUGGAGACCUUCUGGGAGCGCAUGAACCUGAAGGUGCCCAUCUACUUCUCCACGGGGCUGACCGAGAAGGCCAACCACUACUACAAGCUGUUCAUCCCCUGGACCAACCAGAAGAUCCGCAAGACUUUCGUGCAGAGGAACAUGUUUGAGUUCAAGCACAUCAAGGCCUUCGACCGGGCUUUUGCUGACAACCCAGGACCGAUGGUUGUGUUUGCCACGCCAGGAAUGCUGCACGCUGGGCAGUCCCUGCAGAUCUUCCGGAAAUGGGCCGGAAACGAAAAGAACAUG
rnacentral:sRNA from 1 species